AACAAACGCUGGCGGCGUGCCUAACACAUGCAAGUCGUACGAGAAAGUCCGCUUCGGUGGAUAAGUAAAGUGGCGCACGGGUGAGUAACGCGUGGAUAAUCUACCCUUAAGUCGGGAAUAACUUAUCGAAAGGUGAAUUAAUACCUGAUAACACUGCAUAACUACUGUUGUGUAGUCAAAGAAGGCCUCUGCUUGCAAGCUUUCGCUGAAGGAUGAGUCCGCGUACCAUUAGCUAGUUGGUAGGGUAAUGGCCUACCAAGGUUAUGAUGGUUAGCUGGUCUGAGAGGAUGAUCAGCCACACUGGAACUGAAACACGGUCCAGACUCCUACGGGAGGCAGCAGUGAGGAAUAUUGGACAAUGGGCGCAAGCCUGAUCCAGCCAUGCCGCGUGAGUGAAGAAGGCCCUCGGGUUGUAAAGCUCUUUUGUCCGGAAAGAAAAGCGCCGGGUUAAUACCCUGGUGUCCUGACGGUACCGGAAGAAUAAGCACCGGCUAACUUCGUGCCAG
rnacentral:rRNA from 1 species